AUGGCGUUGCUCCAGGGGAAGCCGUCGGCGUCGCCGCCGGCGCCGAGGAGCCCCACCAUCUCGUCCGCCGCGCCGGAGGUCUUCUCCGACACGCCGGCGUCCCGGCCGCGGCUCCGGGCCGUCUCCGCCAGCGGCGGCAUGUCCGCGACCACGUCGCCGCCCACGACCCGGUCCACCCUGCCGGACCCGGCCAGCGCGCUGGCCACGACCAGCACCACCAGGGCCGAGGCGGCCAGCACGGCGACGCACGCGCGCCACCUCACCCCGCCGCCGCCGCCGCCGCGGCGCUCCUCCGCGACGUCGGACGGGGCCAGCGGCGCGUACGCGUACGGCAGCGCCGUCUCGCCGGGACUAAUGGCCCGGGACUCCAUCGACGACGGUUUCCAAGAAAAAGUCUAUGAAUCGGUUCCGGCGGAUCGGUGGACGGGUGGAGGGAGUGGAUAG
rnacentral:rRNA from 1 species